rnacentral:misc_RNA from 1 species
UCCAGGUGUCAGAAUUGGUAUAGGCGACAGGUGGAUUCUUUGAGAAUAACCUACUUUCUUUCUCGCAGAUUUACCAGAAAGUUUAAUUGUGCUUUUAUUUUCCUUAUCGUGUUCUAGAACUCUGCAUGUACCAGUAAUGUAUUAAUCCUGUAUGGGGUUAUAAUAAAUUAAACUAUUGGUAUUGUAAAUUUAUUAUAUGAAUGUACAUAGGUGUAUGAGAUAGAUUGUUUCUGUGGAUGAG